rnacentral:rRNA from 1 species
UAGGGAAUCUUCCGCAAUGGGCGAAAGCCUGACGGAGCAACGCCGCGUGAGUGAUGAAGGUCUUCGGAUCGUAAAACUCUGUUAUUAGGGAAGAACAAAUGUGUAAGUAACUAUGCACGUCUUGACGGUACCUAAUCAGAGAGCCACGGCUAACUACGUGCCAGCAGCCGCGGUAAUACGUAGGUGGCAAGCGUUAUCCGGAAUUAUUGGGCGUAAAGCGAGCGUAGGCGGUUUUUUAAGUCUGAUGUGAAAGCCCACGGCUCAACCGUGGAGGGUCAUUGGAAACUGGAAAACUUGAGUGCAGAAGAGAAAAGUGGAAUUCCAUGUGUAGCGGUGAUAUGCUCAAAUAUAUGGAGGAACACCAGUGGCGAAGGCGUCUUUCUGGUCUGUAACUGACGCUGAUGUGCGAAAGCGUGGGGAUCAAACAGG